UACGUAGGGGGCAAGCGUUGUCCGGAAUCAUUGGGCGUAAAGAGCGUGUAGGCGGUUCGAAAAGUCUGGUGUGAAAACUUGAGGCUCAACCUCAAGCUGUCACUGGAUACUGUCGGACUUGAGUCCGGAAGAGGAGAGUGGAAUUCCUGGUGUAGCGGUGGAAUGCGCAGAUAUCAGGAGGAACACCUAUGGCGAAGGCAGCUCUCUGGUACGUGACUGACGCUGAGACGCGAAAGCGUGGGGAGCGAACAGG
rnacentral:rRNA from 1 species